GGCGGCCGCCGCGUCCCGGCCUCGAACUCGCCUCCCCGGCUCCCGCGCCGCCUGAGGGGCCGGCGUCCCGCUUCAGGACCCUUACUGUGUCUGAGGUUGACUGAAUGUUAACAUAUUAAUAAAGGCUAAUGUUUUUUGCGUGCUUACUACUCGCCAGGCACUGAUCCAAGUGCUUUCCUGGAUGAAAGUGUGAGACAUGUGCAACAAGGUAUGUUGCAUGACAACCCUCCCAGGUGGAUUCUUUACCACUGAGCCACCUACUGGAAGACAGAAGAACACAGGCAGGGUCUAAUUUCUUUUUGAGCAAGAGAGACAGAGCGAGAAAGAGAAACAUGAAGAUAAUGGAUCUUGAAGAAGGGUGCCAUCAAGUGGGGAAAAUGGCAAAAGAAUGGCAAAAACAUUGACCAUGAAUUUCAUCUACUUUACAGUUUACUUGGGACUGAAAUGUUGUCUCCAUUUAAAAAAAAAAAAAUAAUCCAUCCUAGUAG